GCUCAACAUCCAGGAUCUGUAUGAGAGCCACAGAGCUAACCCUCAGAUCUGCCCUCACGGUACUGACUUCCUUAGGCAGAGGCGUGGCCUGCUUAUGCCCACAUCCCCCCCCCCAGCCAAGAGAGAGACCAAAGAGCCUGCGGAAUGCCUCUGCUCCCUGCCUCUACCUUCAGGUCCAUAAAAAGAAGAGUAGAGACAGCCCAGAGUCCCCAGGUCUGUGAAGGGUCAGGAGGGGUCAAGAAAGGAGUAGGGAGGCUGAAGGAUACAGGGCGUUUGAAUCCAAAUCACUGCUCUGGGCUAGGGAAUAGAGCCAGCACGCCGAGGUGGAAGGGAUUCUGGAAGGGGGACCUUCCAGUCCCCCAGCCCCAAAGCUCAGGGUGGGAGAGGGUAGAACGAGGAAGCAGAGUGUCUAUAAUUAUUUUUUAUCUUUUAUUUUUGGAAUCUAGCAGUACCUGGCAGCAGGGAGGGGACGAUACAGUGGGGGAAAGCAUCUGACAAGGCCAGUUAGAGCAGAGGUCAGGAAGGAUGGAGACUUCCUGCUUUGGAAAGCUGGAAAGCAGGCAGGGACUGGUUGCCACUCCAGGUCACUAGCUGGGCAUAUUCAUUCCUUUCAUAAUCCUGACCCAUCCUCCUCUGGACUCACUGUGCCUCAGUUUCUUCCCCUCGAUGGAAUGAGAGAAUAGCAGCACCCGCCACAGCCAAGAGAUGAAUUCUGAGCACUUACCACGGGCACUUUAUGGACAUAAAAUACCUCUCGCUGUGGGACAGAUAACCAGGGCACCAGAGUAGCGGUGAAGAGAUGUGAGGCUUAGAGGAGUCACAGGCUUCAGAGUACAAGUUCCCCUCUGCCUCCCAGCUGGACAGUGCCUGACACCAAGGAGCUGACAACCUUCUGAUCCACACCUUAUCCAUACCUCACCUCCAGACCUCCUGGCUCCAGGCAGGAGCCUAGAGGAUGUCAGGAAUGGAGGGGGAAAGAACCUUCAACAAAACGCACUCUGAGUAGCAUCAGCGGUCAUGGGUCUGAUGCAAACAAUACGGAACACAAGUAAAUCCUGAGCUGGAAAGCUGACCUGGAAGGCUUGUUCUUCCUGAGAGCAUGACCUUCCUGCCUGGCCCAGCUGGUGGAAGGGGCAAAGCAGCAGGACUGACCCCCAGCCUCUUCUCUCUGAGGCCCUGUUCUUCAUCACUCCUUCUGCUCCAAUCUUGGAGAACAAGAUGCACCUGACCACCAACACCAUUCACACUUCCUUGGUGGAAAGAAAGGAACAGAGAAGUGAAGAACAGAAGAUGCCUCCUCCAAGGUCAAAUGCCCAGGUCUCUUGAUCUUGGCACAGGGUGGGGAUUGGGCAAUAGGCAUCAGGUGACUUCCCUCUAGAAACUCUAGAGAGCUGGGGCAGUAGACUUGGGGACACUUAGAAUACACCCCUUUAAUGCCACCAAAUAAAGACCUUUGGGGGAAGGUCAUUCUCUUAUGAACAUAAAUCUAUGAGUUGGAAGUCUCAUUCCCCUGGUCUUCCUCACCCCCAAAGAGGCAUGGGGUAAAGAGGCUUGGGGGCAUAGCCCAGCAAACUAGUGGGAACUAGUACCCCCUCUCACCUUAUGAUGUGCGUGGACCUGGCCAGUGCCCCUCUGACCAUAAUUAGUGUAAUUAUUAUUUACUUUGUGUAUUUGUUACGCCGUGUGUGUGAUUGCCUUUGUUUGUUAAGGGUGUCUGCGGAGUAUGGGGCUGACGGGCACUGGAAUGCCGGGAAAAGACCUCUUCACUGAGAUCAAGGCUUCCUGAAGGGAACCAUUACAAAAAGGCCAUCAGGCAGUUUUCAAGUUAUGUGACAGAGGGCAAAGAUGGCCAUAGGGUGCUCUGAGUUUUGGGAUGGUCACAUGACACAAUCCAGCACUUGAACCUGAAAAAAGAAAAAUAAAAGCAGUCAAAGAGUUUA